AACAAACGCUGGCGGCGCGUAUUAAGCAUGCAAGUCGGACGGGAACCGGAGUCUUCGGACUCUGGGGAGAGUGGCGAACGGGUGAGUAACACGUAGGUGACCUAUCUUUGAGAGGGGGAUAGCCCAUGGAAACAUGGGGUAAUACCGCAUGAGGCCCUAUUUCAUGUAAUAGGGUGAAAGGAGCAGCUGUUCCGCUUGAAGAUGAGCCUGCGGUCCAUUAGUUAGUUGGCAGGGUAAGAGCCUACCAAGGCGACGAUGGAUAGCCGGCCUGAGAGGGUGAACGGUCACACUGGGACUGAGACACGGCCCAGACUCCUACGGGAGGCAGCAGCUAAGAAUCUUCCGCAAUGGGCGAAAGCCUGACGGAGCGACGCCGCGUGGACGAAGAAGGCAGGAAUGUUGUAAAGUCCUUUUCUUGACGAAGAAUAAGGAGAAGAGUGGAACGCUUCUCUGAUGACGUUAGUUGAGGAAUAAGCCCCGGCCAAUUACGUGCCAGCAGCCGCGGUAACACGUAUGGGGCAAGCGUUGUUCGGAAUUAUUGGGCGUAAAGGGCGCGUAGGCGGCUUUACAAGCCUGGUGUGAAAGGCAUCGGCCUAACCGAUGGAUAGCGCUGGGAACUGUGAGGCUAGAGUUCAGGAGGGGAAGCUGGAAUUCCUGGUGUAGGGGUGAAAUCUGUAGAUAUCAGGAAGAACACCGGUGGCGAAGGCGAGCUUCUGGCCAUGGACUGACGCUGAGGCGCGAAGGCGUGGGGAGCGAACAGGAUUAGAUACCCUGGUAGUCCACGCUGUAAACGAUGUGCACUGGGUGUUGGUGCUAGAGAGUAUCAGUGCCGUAGUUAACGCGAUAAGUGCACCGCCUGGGGAGUAUGCUCG
rnacentral:rRNA from 1 species